rnacentral:lncRNA from 10 species
GUGUAGAUGGAGGCUUCUGGAAGGCUGUGGUCUGGGGGUCUCUUGUGACACGUAUUCACCCAACAGCUGUUGGCUCUGGUGAGCAGCACAUCCUGCCAGGGAACUCUGAGCCAGGCCUGCAGAGCCCACCCGGGAGCAGGCGGGAGUCAGCAUGGGCUCGCAGCCUAUCCUGGAGCCUCGCCGACCUGUUUCCUCCUCAGGCCAAGGAUGACAUGCAAUUUUAACUGACACCAGGCCUGUGGUCUGAUAUCCAGAGUUGCUCAGAAAAGGAGUUGCUAGUUUUACCUGAUAUUUAUGGUCUAAAAACGACCUACCUGGAAUCCCUCUGGAAUCCCUCCUCCUGUGGCUUCAGGCAUUAUCCUAUCUCUGACCCUCUCUUCUGCUUCUCUCGGCCAUAUUGAAGACCCUUGUGAUUUCAUUGGGGCCACCUGGAUACUCCAGGCUAAUCUCCGUAUUUUAAGGUGUGGAUAUGGUCAAAAGCCAAGUUCAUCAAUAGGAAAUUCCUAAUGCAGGAACUUUACCAGCGCUUUCUAGAUGGAGAUCACGGCCCUGUG